GGCGCUUAGCUCAGUUGGUUAGAGCAUCUCGUUUACACCGAGAGGGUCGGGGGUUCGAAU
rnacentral:tRNA from 1 species